UUUACUCUUGCUGACUCUGUCUUCCCAUAGCUAUCUCAGAACCUGCAAAACUGGGGUUAAGGGAGUGGGAUGAGCUACUACAGCCCAGUGAGGAGGAACAAUAAAACAAUUCAUUCAUUAUAUGCUCUCAUGGAAUGCAUCACAUCACAAACAUAUCAUCAAAAGGAUGAACUUGUCACCAAUAGCCCGCUACAUACAUAAUAGUAUGUCCGACUGUGCCAGGGGCGAUUAGGCCACACCUGGACUUCUCUUAACUGACUCAUAUCAUAACAUGUCCCACUGUGCCAGGGGCGAUUAGGCCAUCACCUGGACUUCUCUUUUCUCUGAUCUGACAGCCCGGCUGUCUAACUCAUAGUACCAGGAGCGACCUGGACUAUCCAGGGGCGACCUGGUAUGGCUAUCUCAUGCCAUAAAUCUGUAUCUGCUCUCUGUCAAGGGCUAAGGAUCAUCCAACAUUCAUCCACAGGAACAACAACAUAUGCAAUGCAUCAUAUUCGUGAAUUCUAAUGCAACACAACCUAAUACAUAACAUGGCAGUUUAUGAUGCAUGGAUCAUGCUAGAAUCGUGUCAUUUCUCAAAAUAAACUAGUCAGUUUAGUUCCACUCACCUCUGCUCUUCUGGCAGAUACUGUACUGACUCUGAUCUCUCUAACUCUGAUGACCUCCUCGAACUCUCGGGUCCAAUCCUACACAAAUGGACUCGAAUGAGGUGUCACACAUACUUUGAAUAGCUCUUAAACAAAUCCCCAUAAUCCCCUCUAAACCUCUGAAAAUAAUCACAUAACUCAUGCAAAAGAAGGCUAGACAGAACACAUUCGGCAGCAGGUUCGGCGGCCGAAUGUCCUCUCCAGAGCCGAAACUCAUGCAUGUUCGGCGGCACCUUCGGCGGCCGAAUGUGCAUGACAGAUCCGAAAGUCCAUUCUUUCGGAGGCAACCUUAGGCAGCCGAAACUACCUCCACAAGAGGUUCGGCGGCCGAAUCUUCACUUCGGCGGCCGAAGCUGGGUUCUCCAGAAGGCAGAACCUUGCUUCCUCUCAUGCACAACGUCUCCA
rnacentral:lncRNA from 1 species